rnacentral:rRNA from 1 species
UACAGAGGUCUCAACCGUUGUUCGGAUUCAUUGGGCGUAAAGGGUGCGUAGGCGGUCGCGCACGUCGGAUGUGAAAUCUUAGGGCUCAACCCUGAAACUGCAUUCGAUACUGCGUGGCUCGAGUACUGGAGAGGAGACUGGAAUUUACGGUGUAGCAGUGAAAUGCGUAGAUAUCGUAAGGAAGACCAGUGGCGAAGGCGAGUCUCUGGACAGUUCCUGACGCUGAGGCACGAAGGCCAGGGGAGCAAACGGG